rnacentral:rRNA from 1 species
GACGAACCGUGCGAACGUUAUUCGGAAUCACUGGGCUUAAAGCGCGUGUAGGCGGCUUUGCAAGUCGGGUGUGAAAUCCCCAGGCUUAACCUGGGAACUGCAUUCGAGACUGCAUUGCUAGAGUAUGGGAGAGGGAAGUGGAAUUUCCGGUGUAGCGGUGAAAUGCGUAGAUAUCGGAAGGAACAUCCAGUGGCGAAAGGCGACCCCUUCGGCG